CAGCCGCCGCGGUAAUACCGGCGGCCCGAGUGGCGGCCACUAUUAUUGGGCUUAAAGCGUCCGUAGCCGGGUUGGUUAGUCUCCCGGGAAAUCUGGCCGCUUAACGGUCAGAAUUCCGGGAGAUACUGCCAGCCUAGGGACCGGGAGAGGCCGAGGGGAUUCCCGGAGUAGGGGUGAAAUCCUAUAAUCCCGGGAGGACCACCUGUGGCGAAGGCGCUCGGCUGGAACGGGUCCGACGGUGAGGGACGAAGGCCAGGGGAGCAAACCGGAUUAGAUACCCGGGUAGUCCUGGCUGUAAACGAUGCGGACUUUGUGUCGGACAAGCUAUGAGCUUGUCCGGUGCCGGAGGGAAACCGUUAAGUCCGCCGCCUGGGGAGUACGGCCGCAAGGCUGAACCUUAAAGGAAUUGGCGGG
rnacentral:rRNA from 1 species